rnacentral:rRNA from 1 species
GAUGAACGCUGGCGGCGUGCCUAAUACAUGCAAGUCGAGCGAACAGACGAGGAGCUUGCUCCUCUGACGUUAGCGGCGGACGGGUGAGUAACACGUGGAUAACCUACCUAUAAGACUGGGAUAACUUCGGGCAACCGGAGCUAAUACCGGAUAAUAUAUUGAACCGCAUGGUUCAAUAGUGAAAGACGGUUUUGCUGUCACUUAUAGAUUGAUCCGCGCCGCAUUAGCUAGUUGGUAAGGUAACGGCUUACCAAGGCAACGAUGCGUAGCCGAACUGAGAGGGUGAUCGGCCACACUGGAACUGAGACACGGUCCAGACUCCUACGGGAGGCAGCAGUAGGGAAUCUUCCGCAAUGGGCGAAAGCCUGACGGAGCAACGCCGCGUGAGUGAUGAAGGUCUUCGGAUCGUAAAACUCUGUUAUUAGGGAAGAACAAAUGUGUAAGUAACUAUGCACGUCUUGACGGUACCUAAUCAGAAAGCCACGGCUAACUACGUG